GAUGAACGCUGGCGGCGUGCUUAACACAUGCAAGUCGAACGGAAAGGCCCAACCUUCCUUGUGUUCUCGAGUGGCGAACGGGUGUGUAACACGUGUGUUAUCUGCCCUGCACUUCGGUAUACGCCUGGGAAACUGGGUCUAAUUCCGUAUAGGACGAUUGUUUGGGUUGUAUUGUGGAGAUUUUUUUCGGUGUGGGAUGAGCUCGCGGCCUAUCAGCUUGUUGGUGGGGUAAUGGCCUACCAAGGCGUCGACGGGUAGCCGGCCUGAGAGGGUGUACGGCCACAUUGGAAUGGGGAUAGGGCCCGGACUCCUAGGGGGGGAAGAAGGGGGGAAAGUGGGAAAAUGGGGGAAAGCGUGAGGAAGGAAGGCGGGGUGGGGGAUAAGGGCCUUCGGGUGGAAAACUCCUGUCGCUAGGGAGAAAGCGUUGUUGUGACGGUACCUGGAGAAGAAGCACCGGCUAACUACGUG
rnacentral:rRNA from 1 species